UAUGUAAAACACUUUCAAGUUGGAGAAGUUACAAAUAUAAUCACCGUUGUCGCCUCUCUCUUUAAACACACUAGCGACAGUCGAGAUGAAGGGCGUCUUAAUUCUAAGUUUUAUUGCCGUUCACUUAGCCUUGGUAUCUUGUCAGGCGUAUUAUGAUCAGCAGCAGGUACAGGGACAGGGUCAGUUUGAGGGGGAGGGUUGCACUGGAUUUGAGUUGGCGAUGACGUACAUCCCCCAUAGCGACUGCAACAAGUUCUACCGCUGCGCCUUACCCAGGAUGGUAAAAGAAGAAUUUAGCUGCCCUCAAGGACAGGUUUUCGACUCUAAGUACCACAACUGUCGUACUGCCAGGGACGGAGAAUGUUAACAACGUGACGUCAACACAACACAAAUCAUACCAUAUACGGCCGUCAUGUGAUGUCAACAAAAAUAUCACAUGACUAUUUUUUUUUUCAUAUACAUUGUUUUCGCCAAAUAAUAUCUCUUUUUUUUUUUUACUUUUUUUUCUUUUAAAAUACAACUGACAUUUAUACUUAUUUGCUGUUGAUAUAUAUUUUUUUAUAUUUGUAUAUUAUGAAUUAAUUAUAUACGGUGCAUCUCAUAAAGGAUCUUUGUAUAGCUUUAGUGCACUUUAAAAAGAAAUGAUGGGGUGGGGCGCCUCACCUUUUUGAAUGUAUUCCGAUAUAUUACUAGUAUUUUUUUUGUUUGUUUUUAAAAUUAUAAAUAAUGUUUACGGAUUUAAUUGAUGUUAUGUGUGGAGAUGAUUAUUUUGUAAAUUUGAUUAAAAUAAUUGUCAAAAAAAGGA